rnacentral:rRNA from 1 species
GGGCAUGCGCGGCUAUACAUGCAAGUCGAGCGAGCAGAACCAGCAGAUUUACUUCGGUAAUGACGCUGGGGACGCGAGCGGCGGAUGGGUGAGUAACACGUGGGGAACCUGCCCCAUAGUCUGGGAUACCACUUGGAAACAGGUGCUAAUACCGGAUAAGAAAGCAGAUCGCAUGAUCAGCUUAUAAAAGGCGGCGUAAGCUGUCGCUAUGGGAUGGCCCCGCGGUGCAUUAGCUAGUUGGUAAGGUAACGGCUUACCAAGGCAAUGAUGCAUAGCCGAGUUGAGAGACUGAUCGGCCACAUUGGGACUGAGACACGGCCCAAACUCCUACGGGAGGCAGCAGUAGGGAAUCUUCCACAAUGGACGCAAGUCUGAUGGAGCAACGCCGCGUGAGUGAAGAAGGUUUUCGGAUCGUAAAGCUCUGUUGUUGGUGAAGAAGGAUAGAGGUAGUAACUGGCCUUUAUUUGACGGUAAUCAACCAGAAAGUCACGGCUAACUACGUGCCAGCAGCCGCGGUAAUACGUAGGUGGCAAGCGUUGUCCGGAUUUAUUGGGCGUAAAGCGAGCGCAGGCGGAAGAAUAAGUCUGAUGUGAAAGCCCUCGGCUUAACCGAGGAACUGCAUCGGAAACUGUUUUUCUUGAGUGCAGAAGAGGAGAGUGGAACUCCAUGUGUAGCGGUGGAAUGCGUAGAUAUAUGGAAGAACACCAGUGGCGAAGGCGACUCUCUGGUCUGCAACUGACGCUGAGGCUCGAAAGCAUGGGUAGCGAACAGGAUUAGAUACCCUGGUAGUCCAUGCCGUAAACGAUGAGUGCUAAGUGUUGGGAGGUUUCCGCCUCUCAGUGCUGCAGCUAACGCAUUAAGCACUCCGCCUGGGGAGUACGACCGCAAGGUUGAAACUCAAAGGAAUUGACGGGGGCCCGCACAGCGGUGAGCAUGUGGUUUAAUUCGAAGCACGCGAGACUUACCAGGUCUUGACAUCUAGUGCAUCCUAGAGAUUAGGAGUCCCUUCGGGACGCUAAGACAGUGUGCAUGCUGUCGUCAGCUCGUGUCGUGAGAUGUUGGUAAGUCCCGCACGAGCGCAC